rnacentral:rRNA from 1 species
AUUGAACGCUGGCGGCAGGCCUAACACAUGCAAGUCGAACGAGUGGCGGACGGGUGAGUAAUGUCUGGGAAACUGCCUGAUGGAGGGGGAUCACUACUGGAAACGGUAGCUAAUCCCGCAUAAACUUGGAUGUGCCCAGUUGUGUUUAGCUAGGAGGUGGGGUAACGGCUCACCUAGGGGACGAUCCCUAGCGGGUCUGAGAGGAUGACCAGCCACACUGGAACUGAGACACGGUCCAGACUCCUACGGGAGGCAGCAGUGGGGAAUAUUGCACAAUGGGCGCAAGCCUGAUGCAGCCAUGCCGCGUGUAUGAAGAAGGCCUUCGGGUUGUAAAGUACUUUCAGCGGGGAGGCGUUACCCGCAGAAGAAGCACCGGCUAACUCCGUGCCAGCAGCCGCGGUAAUUC